rnacentral:lncRNA from 1 species
GAGCGAAGAGUACUUCUACCCGAAACCAUGAGCUGGAUCCCCCUAGGCGAAAAGGUUCUACCUGGGUUAAGCUAAGAAAAAAUAACCUGGGCGAAGAGUACUUCUACCCGGAACUAGAGUUGUAUCCCCCUAGGCGAAAAGUUUCUACCCGGGUUAAACUACGUAAAACAACAUGAGCGAAGAGUAAUUCUACCCGGAACUAUAAGCUGGAUCCCCCUAGGCGAAAAUGUUCCACCUGGUUUAAGCUACGAAAAUGGGAGGUAUGGACAGUAAUGAUGCAUGCUGCAAAUAAAGGAAAGUUGAGAUUUCGCGAAAACUUACCUUUGGUGACAUUCGCCCUUUGAAAAUCGCCAUUCUGCACUGCUUUGAUCCUGCUUCAAACAAAGAAAAAUUUGUGAGUUUUUAAAGUGGUGGUCG